UAGACCUAAUAAUUGUGAAAACAACAAUUGAAAAAUUGUUGCAUCUAGAAUCUGCUAGAAUCGUUUGAAUAACCGAACUAAUUGGUGAUAGUUGAUUGAAAAACGAGGUAUACGAAUGUUGUGGUUGAAUUAUUCAAAAAACUAUUAGAAAAUUGCAAAAAUUACUUAAAAGCAAUCAAAUUGUUCUCCAGUUGAUGACUAUCACUUGAAUGCCUUUUCUAGCAAACACUAAUAGACAAUAUGCUAUAGAGUAGAUGUGAAACACAGGUGCUAUCAAAUUAAGAUAUAUCUGUAUUACGAAAGGAACGUAAAAUGCAGCCUGAUAUAAAAAAAUCAUUUUUGCAAAGGAUGAACAUUACCUACGUGGUCAUAGUACCAUUAAUUAUAGGCCUUCACGUAGGUUGGUUUACUUUGCAGCAGCGUUAUGUUCCAGUACUUGACAGACAUGACCAUCCACUAGUCAGAUUAUAUAAGAGAUUUACCUCAUAAUAAUGUUAUGUAUACAUUGACAGCAAACGACUAAUUCUGCAUUGCAAUAUGUUGAAUGAAAACAUUCUACGAGAAAGAAAAUUAAGUUUGACGUCAAUGACCACUAUGACGAAAUUUGCUGAUGUAGUUUAUUUGCUACAGUAGAAACAAUAUAUAGUGGAUUUGGUAUAGAGAUUACUAACUUGUUUACAAAAUACUAUUAUAACACAAUAUUGUUUAAAUUCUUUAAGCAUUUUACAUAUACGUACGAAAGAAGCGAUGAAAUUAGAUUUAUGCUAUUGCUGAUGAAUUUAUUAAUCGAAAUAAAAUUUGGUGUUCAAACUUUUUAUAGAAAAAAAAAAUUAUUAAACUUUUUUUUCGAUUUUGUGAAAUAUUCUUUAUAUUUUAUUUUACAUUAAAAAAUGUAUUAAAAGAAAUCUACAUAUUUCUGUACACUUUAAUCUCUCUAACAAUAUAAAGACCUUAAAAAAAAAGGGUCAUUUGAAAUUUUACCGCUCUGCUAUUGUAAAAUGUUGUCCAAGUCAGUGCCUAUGUCUAAUUCUAAUGAAUAUUGAAAAAAUAUACAUCUUCAAGUAUCUUUUAAA